AUUCCUGUAGUUGAAUAACAACAAUAGUUUUUCGAGUUAUUAGUCCUAGUUAAAAUCUUGGUGGGAAUU
rnacentral:tRNA from 1 species